GAUAAACGCUGGCGGCGUGCCUAAUACAUGCAAGUCGAGCGAACGGACGAGAAGCUUGCUUCUCUGAUGUUAGCGGCGGACGGGUGAGUAACACGUGGAUAACCUACCUAUAAGACUGGGAUAACUUCGGGAAACCGGAGCUAAUACCGGAUAAUAUUUUGAACCGCAUGGUUCAAAAGUGAAAGACGGUCUUGCUGUCACUUAUAGAUGGAUCCGCGCUGCAUUAGCUAGUUGGUAAGGUAACGGCUUACCAAGGCAACGAUGCAUAGCCGACCUGAGAGGGUGAUCGGCCACACUGGAACUGAGACACGGUCCAGACUCCUACGGGAGGCAGCAGUAGGGAAUCUUCCGCAAUGGGCGAAAGCCUGACGGAGCAACGCCGCGUGAGUGAUGAAGGUCUUCGGAUCGUAAAACUCUGUUAUUAGGGAAGAACAUAUGUGUAAGUAACUGUGCACAUCUUGACGGUACCUAAUCAGAAAGCCACGGCUAACUACGUGCCAGCAGCCGCGGUAAUACGUAGGUGGCAAGCGUUAUCCGGAAUUAUUGGGCGUAAAGCGCGCGUAGGCGGUUUUUUAAGUCUGAUGUGAAAGCCCACGGCUCAACCGUGGAGGGUCAUUGGAAACUGGAAAACUUGAGUGCAGAAGAGGAAAGUGGAAUUCCAUGUGUAGCGGUGAAAUGCGCAGAGAUAUGGAGGAACACCAGUGGCGAAGGCGACUUUCUGGUCUGUAACUGACGCUGAUGUGCGAAAGCGUGGGGAUCAAACAGGAUUAGAUACCCUGGUAGUCCACGCCGUAAACGAUGAGUGCUAAGUGUUAGGGGGUUUCCGCCCCUUAGUGCUGCAGCUAACGCAUUAAGCACUCCGCCUGGGGAGUACGACCGCAAGGUUGAAACUCAAGGGAAUUGACGGGGACCCGCACAAGCGGUGGAGCAUGUGGUUUAAUUCGAAGCAACGCGAAGAACCUUACCAAAUCUUGACAUCCUUUGACAACUCUAGAGAUAGAGCCUUCCCCUUCGGGGGACAAAGUGACAGGUGGUGCAUGGUUGUCGUCAGCUCGUGUCGUGAGAUGUUGGGUUAAGUCCCGCAACGAGCGCAACCCUUAAGCUUAGUUGCCAUCAUUAAGUUGGGCACUCUAAGUUGACUGCCGGUGACAAACCGGAGGAAGGUGGGGAUGACGUCAAAUCAUCAUGCCCCUUAUGAUUUGGGCUACACACGUGCUACAAUGGACAAUACAAAGGGCAGCGAAACCGCGAGGUCAAGCAAAUCCCAUAAAGUUGUUCUCAGUUCGGAUUGUAGUCUGCAACUCGACUACAUGAAGCUGGAAUCGCUAGUAAUCGUAGAUCAGCAUGCUACGGUGAAUACGUUCCCGGGUCU
rnacentral:rRNA from 1 species